CAGCCGCCGCGGGAAUACAGAGGGUGCAAGCGUUAAUCGGAAUUACUUGGCGUAAAGCGCGCGUAGGUGGUUUGUUAAGUUGGAUGUGAAAGCCCCGGGCUCAACCUGGGAACUGCAUCCAAAACUGGCAAGCUAGAGUACGGUAGAGGGUGGUGGAAUUUCCUGUGUAGCGGUGAAAUGCGUAGAUAUAGGAAGGAACACCAGUGGCGAAGGCGACCACCUGGACUGAUACUGACACUGAGGUGCGAAAGCGUGGGGAGCAAACAGGAUUAGAUACCCCUGUAGUCCCUGUCUCUUAUAC
rnacentral:rRNA from 1 species